rnacentral:lncRNA from 10 species
AGGAGAUCGAGACCAUCCUGGCUAACAAGAAUCGGGCAGCCAUUAGAACCAAAACAGUUCUGAGGAGCUCCCAGGCUGCAAUGUGGUGCGAAAUGUUUUAUGGACAGAAAAUGGAAAUGAGGUGCAGAAAUUGGAGAUGAAAUUUCAGUCUUUAUUCAAGAUCAAGUGCAACUGUCUCUUUGAGGAAAGUCCUUUGACCGCCAUUUCUCCCCUUCAGAAGGCAAACACCUGGGGGAGAAGAUCUGCUUAAGGACCUGGUAACUGACAAAGAAUGGAAUGGGAGCGAGAACCGCCUAGCCAUCCCUUCUCCUUGCACAGUCAUGAAACAAAAGUUGAAAAGGAGCCUGGUUUUACUUGACCAGUCAUAAAUUACCAUAAAAUAAAAUGAGAUAUUAGGAA